rnacentral:rRNA from 1 species
AGAGUUUGAUCCUGGCUCAGAUUGAACGCUGGCGGCAGGCCUAACACAUGCAAGUCGAGCGGAUGAGAGGAGCUUGCUCCUUGAUUUAGCGGCGGACGGGUGAGUAAUGCCUAGGAAUCUGCCUGGUAGUGGGGGAUAACGUCCGGAAACGGGCGCUAAUACCGCAUACGUCCUACGGGAGAAAGCAGGGGACCUUCGGGCCUUGCGCUAUCAGAUGAGCCUAGGUCGGAUUAGCUAGUUGGUGAGGUAAUGGCUCACCAAGGCGACGAUCCGUAACUGGUCUGAGAGGAUGAUCAGUCACACUGGAACUGAGACACGGUCCAGACUCCUACGGGAGGCAGCAGUGGGGAAUAUUGGACAAUGGGCGAAAGCCUGAUCCAGCCAUGCCGCGUGUGUGAAGAAGGUCUUCGGAUUGUAAAGCACUUUAAGUUGGGAGGAAGGGCAUUAACCUAAUACGUUAGUGUUUUGACGUUACCGACAGAAUAAGCACCGGCUAACUUCGUGCCAGCAGCCGCGGUAAUACGAAGGGUGCAAGCGUUAAUCGGAAUUACUGGGCGUAAAGCGCGCGUAGGUGGUUCGUUAAGUUGGAUGUGAAAGCCCCGGGCUCAACCUGGGAACUGCAUCCAAAACUGGCGAGCUAGAGUACGGUAGAGGGUGGUGGAAUUUCCUGUGUAGCGGUGAAAUGCGUAG